rnacentral:tRNA from 1 species
ACUUUUUUAAGAAAAUAUUCUAUUAAUUUUCAAGGUUAAAAGUGCUUAUAAAGAUUU